rnacentral:rRNA from 1 species
UGAGGAAUAUUGGUCAAUGGGCGAGAGCCUGAACCAGCCAAGUAGCGUGCAGGAUGACGGCCCUAUGGGUUGUAAACUGCUUUUAUGUGGGGAUAAAGUGCGUGACGUGUCAUGCAUUGCAGGUACCACAUGAAUAAGGACCGGCUAAUUCCGUGCCAGCAGCCGCGGUAAUACGGAAGGUCCGGGCGUUAUCCGGAUUUAUUGGGUUUAAAGGGAGCGUAGGCUGUCUAUUAAGCGUGUUGUGAAAUUUACCGGCUCAACCGGUGGCUUGCAGCGCGAACUGGUCGACUUGAGUAUGCAGGAAGUAGGCGGAAUUCAUGGUGUAGCGAUGAAAUGCUUAGAUAUCAUGACGAACUCCGAUUGCGCAGGCAGCUUACUGUAGCAUAACUGACGCUGAUGCUCGAAAGUGCGGGUAUCAAACAGG